rnacentral:rRNA from 1 species
UACAGGGGGGGCAAGCGUUGUUCGGAAUUACUGGGCGUAAAGGGUUCGUAGGUGGCUUACUAAGUCAAACGUGAAAUCCCUCAGCUUAACUGGGGAACUGCGUCUGAUACUGGAAAGCUUAAGUGCAGGAGAGGAACGCGGAAUUCCAGGUGUAGCGGUGAAAUGCGUAGAUAUCUGGAGGAACACCGGUGGCGAAGGCGGCGUUCUGGACUGCAACUGACACUGAGGAACGAAAGCCAGGGGAGCAAACGGG